GGGGCAGGUGAAAGAUUGCUGCUGCAGCUUCUCCAAGGGCAGGGAAGGGAAAAGUUUCUUGCCUGGGCCAACAAAACCAAGCUAAACAAGCAAAACCAGACUGCACAGCAUCACACAACACCUGGGUGGUGAGGCCUUGAAAAAUCCUGCAAAAGAGCCCAAAGCCCGUUCUACCCCUCUACCGCACUCACCCAAUCCCAGGCCUUAAAGAUAAAACAACAACUAUUUUUGGGCAUAAAGCAGAGGAUCAUGGAAGAAACUGUCAUAAUAAAUCACUCUGACACGGUCAGGAAGAAAUGUCCUUUUCUUUCAGUGGCCAAGAGUUAGUCCUGGACAGGAGGAGUGAAGCUGCAAUUCCUAAGCACGACUCACCUGCUGCAUGCCCAAUCCUGCUGAGCAUCCCUCCAGCAUGCUGGCACAAUCACACCCUCCCCUGAAGUUUUGGGGGUUGGUGUUUUUUCACUAGUUCCAAGCCAAAAAGUGAUGAAAACCAGUUCCUGCCAUGUUUUUUAAGGAGCAGGAGUGAGGGGAGAUUUGUAACACCUUUUGCAGUAGGACACCUUAUCUCAGACCAAUUCAUCACUGUCCACCCACCCUGCUGAGCCCUGGCAGCAAGUCACCAGUGAAGGCCCCAGACCCAUGGUCUCUCCAGAAGUGAUCAAACAGUGAAAUUGGGAACAGCAUAAACUUUCCUGGAUGGGAUUACAGCCCAGCCAGAAUGUGUAAUACUGAGAAAUCCUCCUUUUCAUCCCCGUCUGGGUUGGGUUAAUUCUAACUCCUCUCCUGCUGUGCCCAGCAUCCAAAGCUCAUGAGAGGCACAGUAGGGAUGAUCUGAGAGGAGUGCACAGUGCACUUCCAGCCCAAAAGCCUGCAGUAAACUGGUGGUGCCUAAGACUCACCCUCUGCAGCAGCUGUCCUUACACAGAAACAAAUUUAAUGUUCAGACCCUAAACUCUAAAUAAGUUUUAAAGGUGAGGUGAGACCAAAAAGCAUUCAGAAAAAAUUGCAGCAGAAUAAUUCAACUAAGACAGCUGAACAGAAGCACACAUUGCUUCUGUCUGAUGGUAUCUCAUUUCUGUUGGGUUGUUCUGUGUGCCAGGCAAGAUGAUGCCAGGCACUGGUCCUCUGUGGCUGCCCUCAGAGAGUAACUGGGUGGAAAGGGAUGACUCCCUGGGCUGGGUUUAGGGCUCCUCAGUCUCCACUUGGGAUUUCCUUGGCAGAAAAAAACACUUUACAUAGGUCCUUUCCUCUUGAAAGGUGAAGACUAUGUGUCUAGGCUUAAUAAGUUUCCUUGGUGUGGUGCAGUAGGGGCUGGAUUAAUGGUUAGUGACAGAAACAUGGAAAGGCCACACAUCAGCUGAGACACAACUUUCAAGAAGGAAAAGGGACUUUUUUUCCAGAGAAGAAACCCUCCAAAAGAAAAUGCCACAGAUACCUGCCUGCACCAACUUGGCACAGCAGUAGCCCGUGGUGACCAGCCUGCUGCCAUCACCUGCAUUCUGUCGUGCCCGCAGCCAUGGUGCCCCAAACCUGAGAGCCUGCAGCUGUUCCAGGUCUGCUCCCGUGACUGCAGCAGCCUGUUCUCCACCAACAGAAGGAACACACAGCCUGCUACUGUUUGGGAAUUGCACCCAGCCCACCAUGGGAGUGAAUAUUUCCCUGUACUUUAUGGAACACCAUGCAAAAGGGAGCAAGGAUAGCUACCCUGGAUUUUGGGAAUGACAACCACCUACGCUGCAGGAAGCUGACAACAAGGGUCCACUUAGAAGCUGGUGAAACAGCCAGUCUGGACAGAACUGGGCCAAUUAAGUGCCUUACACCUUCAUACAAAUGAAUGAUCCAAAAAGAAACCAAUCCAGAGGGAAAAAAACAGGAUAAAAGGGAGCAUCUGACCCACUGAGUCUGUGCCACUCCACCUGGAACAUCGUGGACACCAUUGCUGAAGAAGACCCAGCACCGGCGCUGCAGCGUCCUCAACGGAAACG